UACGGAGGGUGCAAGCGUUUAAUCGGAAUUACUGGGCGUAAAGCGUGCGUAGGCGGUUCGUUAAGUCUGUUGUGAAAGCCCCGGGCUCAACCUGGGAAUGGCAAUGGAUACUGGCGAGCUAGAGUGUGUCAGAGGAUGGUGGAAUUCCCGGUGUAGCGGUGAAAUGCGUAGAGAUCGGGAGGAACAUCAGUGGCGAAGGCGGCCAUCUGGGACAACACUGACGCUGAGACGCGAAAGCGUGGGGAGCGAACAGG
rnacentral:rRNA from 1 species